GAUGAACGCUGGCGGCGUGCCUAAUACAUGCAAGUCGAGCGAACAGAUGAGGAGCUUGCUCCCCUGACGUUAGCGGCGGACGGGUGAGUAACACGUGGAUAACCUACCUAUAAGACUGGGAUAACUUCGGGAAACCGGAGCUAAUACCGGAUAAUAUAUUGAACCGCAUGGUUCAAUAGUGAAAGACGGUUUUGCUGUCACUUAUAGAUGGAUCCGCGCCGCAUUAGCUAGUUGGUAAGGUAACGGCUUACCAAGGCUACGAUGCGUAGCCGACCUGAGAGGGUGAUCGGCCACACUGGAACUGAGACACGGUCCAGACUCCUACGGGAGGCAGCAGUAGGGAAUCUUCCGCAAUGGGCGAAAGCUUGACGGAGCAACGCCGCGUGAGUGAUGAAGGUCUUCGGAUCGUAAAACUCUGUUAUUAGGGAAGAACAAAUGUGUAAGUAACUAUGCACGUCUUGACGGUACCUAAUCAGAAAGCCACGGCUAACUACGUG
rnacentral:rRNA from 1 species